rnacentral:lncRNA from 1 species
AUGCUUGGGUGGGGGUCGCCAACCUGCAUCUUGGGGGUGGAAACGGGAUGUUUCCAAAGGGCUUUUCUAUGUCAGAGGAGACUCCCAGGUCCUGGGGUGGGGCUCGGGCUUGGAUCCCUGCUGCCCUCAGCAAAGCCUGAGCCCGGAGGCGACGGGGCUCCUACAGGAAGGGUAUCUGCAUGUUGCCAGGACGUGUCAGUGGGCUGUGAGCAGCGAGGAGGUCAGUGCUCCUUUUGCCUUGUCUCCCACAGGCCACGGAGGGCCGGCCGUGCGGAGGGCCGGGCGUGCACAAGGCCUGCCUGCAGGGGUGGCUCCCGCCCUGCUGCCGGGCCAGGCCCUUGGCGCCCUUCCCGACCUCUUCUGACAUCUCCCUUACAGGAAAAGCAGCACCAAGUCAUCUCUGCAGAGGAAGCUUCUUCCAGCCGUGGACAUACCUGCCGCCACUCACCUUCCAACACGACAAUUCUGCGACACCAGCAGGACACCACAGAUAAUGAAGACACAGCAUGUACAAAACUGGAAAGUUUUCGAUCUAUAGAUGCUGGGAACCUGGGAAUAUUUGUCAAAGAUUUAAUUACUGCUUUGCCCUAUUCAAAACAUUCAAUAAAUAAACGUGUCAUAUGGAUAUUUUUUCUCUGUAAAAACUCUUCAAUUCAUCCAUUUUCCUUAUUCUAGUGACCAUUUCUCUAUUCCGGGCUAUUAUCUCACCCCUGAAGCCAUACUCCUCUUAUUCUCCUGGAUGUCAGUUUUGACAUUUUCUUAUUAUCUGAUCAAAAUUUUUCAGAAAUGCUGUUUUAAAUGAUAUUUUUUUCUAUUUGAUUUCCACCCCCCCUACUUAGAACUCUUUAGUGUCUCUCAAGUUUACUCAGAAUAACAUGAAAACUUCUUAACAAGGCACAUGGAUACCUCCUCCCUCCAUCUAGCUUUUCCUGCCUUCCUGCCUUCUUUCCUCCUUUCCUUCCUGUCUUCCUGCCUUCCUUCUCCCUCCCUUCCUCCCUUCUUCCUCUCCCUUCUUUCUUUCAGCUAUAAUUGACACAUCUUCUUUAUCCAUCCAUCUGUUAAUGGACAUCUGAGCUCUUUCCAUCGUUUGGCUAUUGAGGACAUUGCUGCUAUAGACAUUGGGGUGCAGGUACCCAUUUGUAUCUUUGGGGUAAAUACCCAGUAGUGCAAUUGCUGGGUCAUGGGGUAUCUAUUUUCAACUUUUUGAGGAACCUCCACACAGUUUUCCACACUGGCUGCACCAGUUCACACCAACAGUUGUAUGAGGGUUCUCUUUUCUCUGCAUCCUCACCAACAUGUGUCCUUACCUGACUUGUUAAUUUUCCCCAUUCUCACUGGUGUCAGGUGGUAUCUCAUUGUGAUUUUGAUUUGUAUUUCCCUGAUGGCCAGUGAUGCGGAGCAUUUUUUUUUUCAUCUGUCGUUCGGCCAUUUGUAGGUCUGAAAAAGAACAGUUUUAUUUCUUCAUUUCCAAUCUAUAUGCCUUUUAGUUUUUUCUUUCCUUAUUACACUAGGAGAGCUAGUAUCACUGUUAGUAGUUGAUAUGUCUCCUAAGUCUCUCAUUUUUUUUAAAGAAAUUAACUUUUUUUAGAAUAGUUUUAGAUUUACAGAAAAGUUGUACAGAUAGCACAGUUUCCCCUGUUGUUAACGUCUUACAUUAAUGUGGUACAUUUGUUACAACUAAUGAAUCAACACUGAUACAUCAUUAAAGUCCAUACUUGAUUUACGUUUUCUUAGUUUUUACCUAAUGUUCUUUUUCUAUUCCAGGAUCCCAGUCAGGACAAAACAUUAU